ACAAAAACUUAACUAUAACCACUGAACCAUGAAAAUGAGGUCAAGGUCAGAUGACAUCUGCCCGCUAGACAUGUACACCUUACAAUCAUUCCAUACAACAAAUAUAGUAAACCUAUUGCAUAAAGUAUGAGAAAAACAGACCAAAAUACAAAAACUUAACUAUAACCACUGAACCAUGAAAAUGAGGUCAAGGUCAGAUGACACCUGCCAGUUGGACAUGUACACCUUACAGUCCUUCCAUACACCAAAUAUACUAGACCUAUUGCUUAUAGUAUCUGAGAUAUGGACUUGACCACCAAAACUUAACCUUGUUCACUGAUCCAUGAAAUGAGGUCGAGGUCAAGUGAAAACUGUCUGACGGGCAUGAGGACCUUGCAAGGUACGCACAUACUAAAUAUAGUUAUCCUAUUACUUACAGUAAGAGAGAAUUUAACAUUACAAAAAAUCUGAACUUUUUUUUUCAAGUGGUCACUGAACCAUGAAAAUGAGGUCAAGGACAAUGGACAUGUGACUGACGGAAACUUCGUAACAUGAGGCAUCUAUAUACAAUAUAUGAAGCAUCCAUGUCUUCCAUCUUCUAAAAUAUAUAGCUUUUAAGAAGUGAGCUAACACCGCCGCCGCCGCCGCCGGAUCACUAUCCCUAUGUCUAGCUUUCUGCAACAAAAG
rnacentral:lncRNA from 1 species